GCUGCGGCCGGCCAGAUGCCCGUCGGAGCACAGCAACUACCGCCUACGGCGAAUCCUUACGCCACCGCCACCUACGCACAGCACGCGUCGGUAAGUCCUCCUCUCCUUUUCAUUCCUGACCAACUCGAACUUUAUAUUGGAUUGGAAACAUGCCAUUUUCCUAUAAUCAGUCGUUUUCGUUUUGUACGUGGUUGAUUAUAAGAGAAUGGUAGUUGUUGAGAAUGAUUGUUGGAGAAUUGGGUAGCACAAAUGUCUUACAUGUUUCGUGCGGUUAACAAGGUAACCUAUAAACUGUAUUUGAAAUAUAUAUAUUUUGUUUAGUGAUUUAGAUUUUAUCAUAAAUUUACUCCUAUAGAAAAAGUUUUGAUAAAAUAAUUAUGAUUUUAUUAGAGAAAUACGCGCGCAGACAGCACAAAAGUUAAGAUUUGCGCAGCGAAAGGGUUAACCCUUUCUUGAACCGGGUGGGGCCAUGACAACGUAGCAGACAGUUCUUGUAGAAACAAUGUGCAAAUUUUUCUGAUCAUCUUUUUAUCUUUUAUUGAAGGUUCUUUGUUUUUUGAUUUAUAAUGUAUCUUUUCGAUUCUUGAAAAUAUGUAUAUACAUAUAAAAAU